rnacentral:rRNA from 1 species
ACAGGCUCCAGGCGACGACGGGUAGCCGGCCUGAGAGGGUGACCGGCCACUUUGGGACUGAGACACGGCCCAGACUCCUACGGGAGGCAGCAGUGGGGAAUAUUGCACAAUGGGCGCAAGCCUGAUGCAGCGACGCCGCGUGAGGGAUGACGGCCUUCGGGUUGUAAACCUCUUUCACUAGGGACGAAGCGUAAGUGACGGUACCUGCAAAAGAAGCACCGGCCAACUACGUGCCGGCAGCCGCGGGA